AUACCUUUCUCAGCCUUUUUUGGCUAAGAUCAAGUGAAGUAUCUGUUCUUAUCAGUUUAAUAUCUGAUAUGUGGGCCAUUGGUACACACGAUAUUAACUCUAUUUUUUGAGGGGGAAAGCUCAUCAAGGUAGCUUGCAGCCUGGGCCUUUGUGCGUCGCCUAAGCGUUGCACAACUGCUUUGGCUUGGCGCCCACCAA